GGGGGUAUAGCUCAGUGGUAGAGCACCCGCAUACGUAUCGGAAGGUCGGGGGUUCGACUCCCUCUACCUCCA
rnacentral:tRNA from 1 species